rnacentral:rRNA from 1 species
CUGCAGCCCGAGUGGUGAUCGAUUUUAUUGAGCCUAAAGCGUCCGUAGCCGGACUAGUAAACCCUUGGGUAAAUUGGGCAGCUUAACUGUCCAAAUUCCGAGGGGACUGCUAGUCUUGGGACCGGGAGAGGUCAGAGGUACUCCAGGGGUAGGGGCUAAAUCCUGUAAUCCUUUGGGGACCACCAGUGGCGAAGGCGUCUGACUAGAACGGAUCCGACGGUAAGGGACGAAACCCUGGGGCGCGAACCGGAUUAGAUACCCGAGUAGUCC